rnacentral:rRNA from 1 species
ACGUAGGCCCCAAGCGUUAUCCGGAAUUACUGGGCGUAAAGCGUUUCUCAACGGGUGUGCAAGUUGAAUAUCAAAGACCGGAGCUCAACUCCGUGUUUGUGUUCAAAACUGCACAUCUUGAACACGGGAGAGGGAGGCAGAAUUGUGUGAGGAGGUGUGCAAUCCAGUGAUACACACAAGAAUACCAAAAGCGAAGGCAGCUUCCUGGAACGAUGUCGACGCUCACAAACGAAAGCGUGGGGAGCAAAAAG